rnacentral:tRNA from 1 species
AGUUAAAAAGCUACACUGAUUAGCCUAAUGUCUUGAAAACAUUAUGAAAGAAGUUUAAAUCUUCUAUUAACUU